GCAGCAAACCGUUCUGUCGCUCCAUGCUAAUGUGCAUGGGGAGGAAAGUCCGGACAACACAGAGCACCAUACUUCCUAACGGGAAGAUACCCGCGAGGGUAUAGUAACGUAACAGAAAAUAACCGCCCCGAGCAAUCGGGGUAAGGGUGAAAAGGUGAGGUAAGGGCUCACCGGGCCCCGUGGCGACACGGGGUGCCGUACGUCUUAUGGGUUGAAAGACCAUGUAUACCGGCGCUGAGGAUUGCUCGUCCGAUGCCGGGGGGUAGGUCGUUAAAGCCGUUCAGCAAUGACCGGCGUAGAGAAAUGACAGGAUACCAGUCUGUUUAUCUCUGUGAGAUUGAAGGACUGGUAACAGAAUCCGGCUUACAGGUUUGCUGCAUUA
rnacentral:RNase_P_RNA from 1 species